CACAAGCGGUGGAUGAUGUGGACUAAUUCGAUGCAACGCGAAAACCUUUACCUACCCUUGACAUUGUCCGGAAUCCUGCAGAGGUGCGGGAGUGCCCGAAAGGGAAUCGGAACACAGGUGCUGCAUGGCUGUCGUCAGCUCGUGUCGUGAGAUGUUGGGUUAAGUCCCGCAACGAGCGCAACCCUUAUCAUUAGUUGCUACGCAAGGGCACUCUAAUGAGACUGCCGGUGACAAACCGGAGGAAGUGGGGAUGACGUCAAGUCCUCAUGGCCCUUAUGGGUAGGGCUUCACACGUCAUACAAUGGAUGGUACAAAGGGUCGCCAACCCGCGAGGGGGAGCCAAUCCCAUAAAGCCAUUCGUAGUCCGGAUCGCAGUCUGCAACUCGACUGCGUGAAGUCGGAAUCGCUAGUAAUCGUGGAUCAGAAUGUCACGGUGAAUACGUUCCCGGGUCUU
rnacentral:rRNA from 1 species